AUGCUGGUGGAUCGUUGCCAACUUUUUCUCUUUCCUCCCCUUUUCUCUCAUUCUUUUUCUGUCUCCCCCUCCCCAGCAUAUCCCCCCCCAUGCCCCUCCCCCCAAAAAACCCUUUGUCUUUUCUUUCUGAGCCUUGUAAGUGUAAAAGAUGACUCUGAUUUCGUUUUUGUCUCGGGAAAACUGCAAAUAAAUUAUGAGGAAAAACCAAUGAUCAUUAAAGUAGAAGGUGGAGAGAGAAGGCCAAGUGCAUCCGUCCCUGCUGGGGUGCCCAGGGCAUGUCCCUCUCAAAUCCCACCCCGGGACGCCACAGAGAGGGAACAGAGGUACAACUGCCAAAUACGACUUUAUCCCCCUGGCCAGCGCAGCCAGGGCAUGGAAACAACUGGAGCACCGCAAGGUACAGCCCAAGCCCAACUUUUCCCUUCCCGAGGAGGAGGAAGAGGAGGCAGUGAGGGCUGCUGGGCCCUGGCAGGUGCUGAGCCCCCCCCACCCCGGCUGGUGGGAGCAGGGGAGGGGCUCCGAGGUGCAGGGCAGGCUGGUGAGCUCCCCCCUCCUCCAGCACUGGGACACAGCUCCAGGCGUAGGGAGAAGCUACCCAGGGAGGCAGUGAGCACCCCCCACCCAAGAAACCUCUUCUUUUUCCCUUCCCCCCUUCUCCCACCCCCCAGCUCACCCUUAGGACACAAAUACAUAAAAGCCCCCCCAGCCCCUGGGAUGGCAGGAGGGGACUCCACCUGCCCCCUCAGCCCCCUGGACAGCAGUGGACAGCCCCUCCAGGCUUCUGGGGGGUGUGAAGGCAGGGAGUGCGUGGCCAGGUGCCCCCUGGUCCAAGCUGUCCCAGGAACAGCAAGGGUGGGGGGUCUUCAGUGUGGACCUCCCCCCAUGUGUGCUGGCCCGGUGCCAGCCUUGGUGUCCCCUCAAGGUGGACAACAGUCACAUCAGCCCAGGGGGCUGAGGACCCUCGGCCCAGCCCCAGGAACACCCCUGGGGUGGCUGCGGAGGGGGGUGGAGGGCUGGUGGUCCGGAGGUGGAGACCCCGGGCUCCAUGUCACAUGA
rnacentral:lncRNA from 1 species